rnacentral:rRNA from 1 species
AUUGAACGCUGGCGGCAUGCUUUACACAUGCAAGUCGAACGGCAGCGCGGGCUUCGGCCUGGCGGCGAGUGGCGAACGGGUGAGUAAUGCAUCGGAACGUGCCCAGUAGUGGGGGAUAGCCCGGCGAAAGCCGGAUUAAUACCGCAUACGACCUGAGGGUGAAAGCGGGGGACCGAAAGGCCUCGCGCUAUUGGAGCGGCCGAUGUCGGAUUAGCUAGUUGGUGGGGUAAAGGCUUACCAAGGCGACGAUCCGUAGCUGGUCUGAGAGGACGACCAGCCACACGGGACUUGAGACACGCCCCGGCCUCUGACGGGAGCCGGCAGUGGGAAAUUUGGGCCAAUGGGGGAAACCCUAACCCAGCCAUGCCGCGUGCGGGAAGAGGGCCUUCGGGUUGUAAACCGCUUUUGUUGGGAAAGAAUUCCUCUGGGCUAAUACCCCGGGGGAAUGCGGGACCCGAAAGAAUAAGCACCGCCAAACUGCGU